UGCGCGAAUCAGGCAGUCAGACGUUAGUGUGUAGAGAGCCGCGGUGAGAAGCGCACGCCAGCGCCGCCUGCCGGCCGCAUAGAAAACUAAACAUGAAAUUCGAAAUUAAAGUGUACAUAACAUUGUGACAGCCUAGUGAUAGUGUGGUGUGAUUUUUUUCUUUUUAAGUGAUUUUUUUUAUUGUAUAAAAAUAUAUGAAUUUUUGAUGUGCGUUUGGCAGUGCCGCAUAGAGCCCACAGAACCUCCUAAACACAGAUAAGAAGACCUCACAUAUCAUCGUGUUUUUGCGUCCUGGAUAAUAGAAUUUGGUAAUCCGCAACCCGGCGCGGGUUGGCAGUAAAACGGCGGUCAACGCCACGAUAGAUACGAUUCCCUCACCGCGAGAUGCCGCCGCCGGGGAUAUUUAGCGAGCUAGAAGACGACUACAUAGAGGUGAUGUCGAGGAGGGGACAGAGUCGGUCGCCAUAGCCCAUACUGACUGUUCUGUACACGAGACCACAGGGGAGGAUUUGUCGCCAGAGAUAUAAUAUAUCGUUUCCACAAUGUGGAUCCAUCGGGUGCCAAGUAAUAAAAUGAAUCUCCUAAACAUGGACGCGGAGAACCGCGUGGUCCUCAACGUGGGAGGGAUUCGCCACGAGACGUACAAGGCGACGCUGAAGAAGAUUCCGGCGACGCGGCUGUCGCGCCUGACGGAGGCGCUCGCCAACUACGACCCCGUGCUCAACGAGUACUUCUUCGAUAGGCAUCCUGGAGUCUUCGCACAGGUUCUGAACUAUUACAGAACCGGCAAACUCCACUACCCUACGGACGUGUGCGGGCCGCUGUUUGAGGAGGAGCUGGAGUUCUGGGGGCUGGACGCCAACCAGGUGGAACCCUGCUGUUGGAUGACAUACACCCAGCAUCGAGACACCCAAGAAACUCUAGCCGUCCUCGACCGGCUGGACCUCGACACGGAGAAGCCGACUGAUGAGGAGGUGGCUCGCAAGUUCGGCUUCGAGGAAGACUACAUGAAGGGCACGGUGUCGUGGUGGCAGCACCUCAAGCCGCAGAUGUGGUCGCUCUUUGAUGAGCCCUACAGUUCCAAUGCUGCGAAGAUCAUCGGCGUCAUAUCAGUGUUCUUCAUAUGCGUAUCAAUAAUAUCGUUCUGUCUAAAAACUCACCCUGACAUGAGAGUGCCAGUGAUUAGAAACUAUACAGUGACGACAGCCAACCAAUCGCAAGGCUGGGCGUUGGACAAAGUGCAAACAAACGCCCAUAUAGCCUUCUUCUAUAUAGAAUGUGUGUGCAACGCGUGGUUUACAUUAGAAAUCCUCGUUCGUUUCAUCUCGUCACCCAACAAGUGUGAAUUCGUCAAAUCUUCCGUCAAUAUCAUCGAUUAUAUCGCCACAAUGAGCUUCUACAUCGACCUCAUCCUGCAGAAGUACGCGUCUCACGUCGAGAAUGCGGACAUCUUGGAGUUCUUCUCCAUCAUCAGGAUCAUGAGGCUGUUCAAACUCACGAGACACUCCUCGGGUCUCAAGAUUUUGAUUCAGACCUUCAGGGCGUCGGCGAAGGAGCUGACUCUUCUAGUGUUCUUCCUUGUACUGGGUAUAGUGAUAUUCGCGAGCCUGGUGUACUACGCGGAGAGGAUACAGACGAAUCCUCACAACGACUUCAACAGCAUACCUCUGGGGCUGUGGUGGGCGCUGGUCACAAUGACCACUGUUGGGUAUGGUGAUAUGGCGCCGAAGACCUAUGUUGGCAUGUUUGUCGGUGCGCUCUGCGCGUUGGCAGGCGUGCUAACGAUAGCUCUUCCGGUGCCCGUCAUAGUAUCCAACUUCGCCAUGUACUACUCGCACACACAAGCGAGAGCCAAACUACCCAAGAAGAGGCGAAGAGUCAUCAACGUCGAGCCUACUAGGCCACCCAUGCGUGCCCCAGUACCAGGUGCUCCUAACCCCCUAGCACCAGGCAUGGGUCCUCAGGUAGUGAACCGCAGAAUGAAUGCCAUCAAAACGAACCAUCCUAAAGACAUGAUAGGCCCUAACAUGGAUGGUGAUCGUAGCGAGCUAGAGGCUAUGAUCCAAACGACACCAAACAACUGCAAAAGAAAAAAUUUAAACAUGCUUUAGAAAGCAUCACACAACGCCGUUGGAACCGAACGGGCUUUCUAUAUCGCCUGCACACUCGGAUUUAGCUUACAGGAAUGCUAAUAUAUCUUUAGUCACUAAUCAAUCAUUACCAUUGUCAUUAUCAUGUUUGCACACGGCAGUAUCUACAAGCAGCACUGGAUCCACCGUCUAGGUCCCUUUGCUUCGAGGGGAUGAAGGCAACAACCACACACCUCUACCACCAUUAAAUAGUCAAAACAAAACAACAAACGAAGUACCAAACUCACAGCCCGUCACAUCGUUGCAACUUUGAUGCCGGGAAUGGACCUAUCGGUCACGACUC
rnacentral:misc_RNA from 1 species